AUGGGUUGGACAGGAGAAGAGAAUAGACGUUUUGAGGAUGCACUUGCUGUGUUUGGUCCAGAAGAUCCAAACCGAUGGCAACAUGUGGCUAACGCUGUUGGUGGAAAAUCAAUAAAGGAAGUUCAAAUGCAUUAUGAAAUCCUCAAAGAAGAUCUCAUUCGAAUUGAACGUGAUCAAGUUCCACUACCCACUUACCGAGGAGGAGGUUCUUCUGGUAUCAAUAUCAACAACUCUCGAAGACAAUUAAUUACCGAUGAACAAAGGAGAAUGAGGAAUCUUAAUAUCCGUUGA